UACAGAGGGUGCAAGCGUUGUUCGGAAUUACUGGGCGUAAAGAGCGUGUAGGCGGUUAGAUAAGUCAGAUGUGAAAUCCCAGGGCCCAACCCUGGACGUGCAUUUGAAACUGUCUAGCUUGAGUGUGGUAGAGGAUGGCGGAAUACCCAGUGUAGAGGUGAAAUUCGUAGAUAUUGGGUAGAACACCGGUGGCGAAGGCGGCCAUCUGGGCCACAACUGACGCUGAGACGCGAAAGCGUGGGUAGCAAACAGG
rnacentral:rRNA from 1 species